UACGAAGGGGGCUAGCGUUGUUCGGAAUUACUGGGCGUAAAGCGUGUGCAGGCGGAUCGCUAAGUCAGGGGUGAAAUCCCGAGGCUCAACCUCGGAACUGCCUUUGAUACUGGGAGUCUUGGAGUCCGGGAGAGGUGAGUGGAACUGCGAGUGUAGAGGUGAAAUUCGUAGAUAUUCGCAAGAACACCAGUGGCGAAGGCGGCUCACUGGCCCGGUACUGACGCUGAGGUGCGAAAGCGUGGGGAGCAAACAGG
rnacentral:rRNA from 1 species